GCGCCCCUAGCUCAACUGGAUAGAGCGUCGGCCUCCGGAGCCGAAGGUUACAGGUUCGAAUCCUGUGGGGCGUACCA
rnacentral:tRNA from 1 species